rnacentral:rRNA from 1 species
UACGUAGGGUGCAAGCGUUGUCCGGAAUUAUUGGGCGUAAAGAGCUCGUAGGUGGUUUGUCACGUUGUUCGUGAAAACCCACAGCUCAACUGUGGGCGUGCGAGCGAUACGGGCAGACUAGAGUACUGCAGGGGAGACUGGAAUUCCUGGUGUAGCGGUGGAAUGCGCAGAUAUCAGGAGGAACACCGAUGGCGAAGGCAGGUCACUGGGCCGCAACUGACGCUGAGGAGCGAAAGCAUGGGGAGCGAACAGG